AUUGGUGUUUUGCUUAGUGCUAUGUGGAAAUAUGACCCGCUCAAAACAAAGUGCACUGCGUACACGCUGGGUAUAGCAAAUCCAGCGGGAGGUAUAGCUUAGGCGGCGCUUUCGACCGCCAUAGGACCGCGAGCUAGCUUUAGCUUUAGGAGGGGUUCGUUGGAGUAACCAAGAGGGGCCCAUUAUUUUCGCCUUGCAACUGCUAAGCUAUAGCUCAGGAAAACUGAAAAGUCUCGCAGUACAGUUUCAUCCACUGCACGAAGCAUUUGAGUCUCUGCAAAGUUAGACUAAACUGUAGAGAAAUGAAGCUCAAAUUGAUCUUUUUGGUGGUGCUGGUUGCCCUGGUGGCGAGCUUCGUGCAGGCCGCUCCUGCCCCUUCGGACGUUGGGGACAAGCUGUCCGAUAUUGGCGAAUCCAUUCUCGACGCAGUGACCACCGAGCCUCCCUCAUUGUGGGACCGAUUCAGCAACUCAGUAAAGAAAACUUUCAACAAGGCAACGGACGACGCGAAAAAACUCGCUGAUCGCGUCCAAGAGAAUCUAGGAUUGUAAAACUUGCUUGCGCUCAUCAGAGAAUAUAGAGCCAAAAUUAUACAUUUAGUUUAUAGCUUUGCUUCUUUCAAAUCAAAUAAUCUUGUAUGUAUCGUAUAUUUUUGCACUUUAUUAAAUAAUAAAAAAUAAUUUUAUGCACCACAAAA